rnacentral:lncRNA from 1 species
CAAGCUUGGAGAUGCCCAGAUCCAGAUGUGCAGUCAGUGAGAAAGAGAGAGGUAACUGUGGAGUCGAUCUCGCAGCGGCGGCUCCGCCUGUCGGGCUCCUCCCAGGGCUCGUUCAUCCUGCCGGCCACCGGCAACCUGCUCGCCGGUGAGUAUGUGCAGCGGCCCGAAGAGGCGCCUGCGCUUGCAGGGGAACGCGCCGGAUCUCGCAGGGCAGAUGAGGUAUAGAUCCCUCCUUCUAUUCUAUAGAUCCGACUAAAUUAGUUUCUUCGACUAAAUAUCAUGGGCUCAGGGUGUGCUUCUUAACUGCAAAUUGUUGGUCGACCACCACAUAUUUUCUCCUGUUAUAGAUUCUUCAUCGUUUACUUAUAUAGUUUCUUCCUGUAAAUCAUGUGUGCGUACUACUUCUGUGCUGGCAGGCCGGUGUGUGCAUCUCAAUUCUUAACUGCAAACUCUUGGUUAUAUCGGCGGCAGAUAUCCGGUGCUAAUUUGGUCUAUUCGCUACUCCUAGGGUCUGCUCUAGGUGAGUCUAUGUGUUGACAGAUAGCUAGUACGCGCUUCAGUACCGACCUCUAUUUAUGAAGAAACAUAUAUUAGAUCCAUCUUGAUUUGUUUGCCAACUGAACGGUGCAAAAACUUCAUAGUACAUAGGUCAGUCUGGGAUGAAUUCACAAUUGUUUGUGGACUUAAAAGAGAUUCUAGCGCGAAACAAACAAAUGAAGUGGAUAUUGUUAUUUAGCUGUUACCAUCCGCUUUUUUUAGUGCUGGUUUGGUGUGUGCAUCUUAGUGCAAAUCAUUGGUGAUUCACUGUAGAUUUACAUUGUUUGGUAUGAGCUGUUUUUUCCCUAGACUUUGCUCAUUUUUGCCUUGAUAACUAGCUCAUUAUCAUUGAUGUUUUCUCUUUAUGAAGAAUGGAGUAUAUGCAUGUUGACUUGCCUGCCAACUGAUCAUUGCAAACUUCACAUGCAUAGGUACUUGGGCAUGGGAUGAGAAUCACAAUUGUUGUGGAUUUACAAGAUGAUAGUGCAGAUGGAGAAUAUCUUGUUAUUUGGCUGUUACUAUCCAUAAUUUUAUCUCUCGGCAACGAAUAUAUUAGAUCAAGCAUCAUAUCAUGUACACGAUAAGAUUUUGAUCUUCUCGUCAUUGAUGCCUACCGGUUGGAUCAUGCUUUUGUUUAUGAGCUGAUUGAAGUAACUCUCUCCUAGCUCAAAUGGGCCAACUUCUUGUUUACAUGAUACACUCAGCUAUCCAUCUCCAUAUCAGUUGGUCUCUCUUAAUUUUGUAAUCUUUUGGAAAUAUGCUUGCAUAUAAUAAAUGAUGCAAAGGUAUAUCAUACAACAACACAAUCUUUUGUCUUCGGCAAGUUAGGGUAGACUAGAGAUAGAACACAAUAUGUGUCACAUACAUCGCAGCAACAGGAAUUAACAAAGAAAUGGUAAAUUAAGCUCUUGACUUGUAGAUUAUGUUAAGUGAUGAUCUAGAGUCAACCUUCUUUUACUACAUUAGUUCUGAUCUACCUUGUCAUCUAUAGGAUUAGUUAUUAUAUCUAAGUAUGUUUUCAGAAUAUUAGAGGAUUAAGCAAGGUCACUUGAUAUGUAAAUGGAUAGUUGGAUGAUUUGUUUAUCAUGAAAAACAAGAGAUUAGCCCACUUGAGCUCGGUGAUAGUGUUACUCAAUGAGAUCAUAAAUAGAAGCAUGAUUGACUGAUAGACAUCAAUGUUGUUGAAGGCAUGGAAAAAUCUUAUCGUAUACAUGAUAUGAUGAUUGUUCCCAUAUGUUUUUGCCAAGUGAAGAAAACCACUUGCAUGGCAUGCUGAAGAUCAUCCAUCCGAAAGAGCGCGGCAGACAUGACCACCACCACCAACAACAACAACAACAACAAGGUCCAAGUAGGCUCUCUUGCAAUAUCCAUGUGCUAUUGUCGUUCCAGUGUCGCUUAUGUUGAACGCUCGUCUUCUACAUGUGUUAGAUUUAGAAAUAUUGCCUGAAUGCUUCCAUUCUUGCCAACUUAGGCAGUGACACUCAAGAAGACAGGAACACUUUGCCAUGGUGUUUGAUUCUUCUUCUGUGGCAACAUGAAGCUCUCAUUGUAAUUGUACCCACUUAUGCCGGAAUACUGUUAUCACUUCCGUCAGAUUCAAGUACCAGUGUACCACCAAGUUUCUGUGGCGUCCCCUGAAUUUUGCUAAUGACGAACUUUCUUCCCCAUUUCUUUCUUUUGUAAGGAAAAGUUAUAUACUUGUGAUGUAUGACUAGCUGGUCAAUUUGCCUGCUUUGAUUAUCCAUUCUGUUUCUUUGUUCCUAACUGCUUUCAGAGUCGUUUUACUCCAGAAAAGUGGAAUGGAAUUAAUGUCCUUCAGUUUAUACUACAAUAUUUUGGAAUUUCACCUUUUAUUUGUAUUGGUUGCUAUUAGUUUUCUCAAUGUACUGCUGGCUUGUAUAUAUCUACCUUAAGUAAUUGUUAUAAUGCGGUGUUUUCUUCCUA